UACGUAGGGGGCAAGCGUUGUCCGGAAUUAUUGGGCGUAAAGAGCUCGUAGGCGGUCCAUUAAGUCGGAAGUGAAAUCUCAGGGCUCAACCCUGAAAUUGCUUACGAUACUGGUGGACUUGAGGCAGGUAGGGGAAGGUGGAAUUCCUGGUGUAGCGGUGAAAUGCGCAGAUAUCAGGAGGAACACCAGUGGCGAAGGCGGCCUUCUGGGCCUGUUCUGACGCUGAGGAGCGAAAGCGUGGGGAGCAAACAGG
rnacentral:rRNA from 1 species